CUGGGUGCGAAGCUCACCCCAGUCGUGCUGGGGACCAGGAAAUUGCAGAAGCAUGUGCUCACCAUGAAGGUGGAACAAGGCAGGUGCAUGGAGGAUGACCUCCUUAAGCAGCCUAUUGGACCAGCCACCAGAGAGCCUCUGUGGAAGGUGGGUGCAGGUGGUUUCCCCUGAGCCUAGUACACUGUAGGUGGGAACAGUCGUUGUA
rnacentral:lncRNA from 12 species